GCAAGUCGAGCGCUACCUUCGGGUGGAGCGGCGGACGGGUGAGUAACACGUGGGCAAUCUGCCCGAUACUCUGGGAUAACGCUUGGAAACGAGUGCUAAUACCGGAUGGUCUUCUUGGCCGCAUGGCCGAGAAGGAAAAGACGCGUUCGCGUCGGUGUCGGAUGAGCCCGCGGCGCAUUAGCUAGUUGGUGAGGUAACGGCCCACCAAGGCGACGAUGCGUAGCCGACCUGAGAGGGUGACC
rnacentral:rRNA from 1 species